GAUGAACGCUGGCGGCGUGCUUAACACAUGCCAGUCGAACGGUGAAGGCGGAGCUUGCUCUGCUGGAUCAGUGGCGAACGGGUGAGUAACACGUGAGCAAUCUGCCCCUGACUCUGGGAUAAGCGCUGGAAACGGCGUCUAAUACUGGAUACGAGCUGCGAAGGCAUCUUCAGCAGCUGGAAAGAAUUUCGGUCAGGGAUGAGCUCGCGGCCUAUCAGCUUGUUGGUGAGGUAAUGGCUCACCAAGGCGUCGACGGGUAGCCGGCCUGAGAGGGUGACCGGCCACACUGGGACUGAGACACGGCCCAGACUCCUACGGGAGGCAGCAGUGGGGAAUAUUGCACAAUGGGCGAAAGCCUGAUGCAGCAACGCCGCGUGAGGGACGACGGCCUUCGGGUUGUAAACCUCUUCUAGCAGGGAAGAAGCGAAAGUGACGGUACCUGCAGAAAAAGCGCCGGCUAACUACGUG
rnacentral:rRNA from 1 species